rnacentral:rRNA from 1 species
GCUUANCAUGCAGUUCGAGGGGCAACAGGGGUAGCAAUACCUGCUGGCGACCGGCAAACGCCCUGCGGAACACGUACAGAACCUUCCUUUAAGCGGGGGAUAGCCUUCGGAAACGGAGAUUAAUACCCCAUAGUAAUGUUUAAUGGCAUCAUUAGAUAUUUAAAGAUUUAUCACUUAAAGAUGGCUGUGCGGCUGAUUAGGUAGUUGGUGCGGGUAACGGCCCACCAAGCCUGCGAUCAGUAACUGGUGUGAGAGCACGACCAGUCACACGGGCACUGAGACACGGGCCCGACUCCUACGGGAGGCAGCAGUAAGGAAUAUUGGUCAAUGGACGCAAGUCUGAACCAGCCAUGCCGCGUGAAGGAUGAAGGCCCUCUGGGUUGUAAACUUCUUUUAUCUGGGAAGAAAUGCAUCUUUUCUAAGGUGUUUGACGGUACCAGAGGAAUAAGCACCGGCUAACUCCGUGCCAGCAGCCGCGGUAAUACGGAGGGUGCAAGCGUUAUCCGGAUUCACUGGGUUUAAAGGGUGCGUAGGUGGGUUGGUAAGUCAGUGGUGAAAUCUCCGUGCUUAACAUGGAAACUGCCAUUGAUACUACUGGUCUUGAAUUUUCAGAAGGUAAGCGGAAUAUGUCAUGUAGCGGUGAAAUGCUUAGAUAUGACAUAGAACACCAAUUGCGAAGGCAGCUUACUGCAGGAACAUUGACACUGAGGCACGAAANGCGUGGGGAUCAAACAGGAUUAGAUACCCUGGUAGUCCACGCCCCUAAACGAUGGGAUACUCGACAUUUGUGAUACAC